rnacentral:rRNA from 1 species
ACCAAGUCCCGUCUCUUUGGAAGGUAUGCAUUUUUUAGAUAAAAGGCCGGCGCGGGCUUGCCCGCUUCUCCGGUGAAUCAUGAUAACUCGACGGAUCGCACAGCCCUUGUGCUGGCGAUGCUUCAUUCAAAUUUCUGCCCUAUCAACUUUCGAUGGUAGGAUAGAGGCCUACCAGGGUGGUGACGGGUGACGGAGAAUUAGGGUUCGAUUCCGGAGAGGGAGCCUGAGAAACGGCUACCACAUCCAAGGAAGGCAGCAGGCGCGCAAAUUACCCAAUCCUGACAUGGGGAGGUAGUGACAAUAAAUAACAAUACUGGGCUCAUCGAGUCUGGUAAUUGGAAUGAGUACAAUCUAAAUCCCUUAACGAGGAUUCAUUGGAGGGCAAGUCUGGUGCCAGCAGCCAUGGUAAUUCCAGCUCCAAUAGUGUAUAUUUAAGUUGUUGCAGUAAAUAAGCUCGUAGUUGGAUCUUGGGUCGUAAAGGUUGUUCUGCCUACUCGGUGUGCACUUUCCCUUCCGUCCCUUUUGUCGGCGGUGUGCUCCUAGCCUUAAUUGGCUAGGUCGCAGCUCCGACGCUGUUACUUUGAAAAAAUUAGAGUGCUCAAAGAAAUCUUAUGCUCUGAAUACAUUAGCAUGGAAUAACAUGAUAGGAUUCUAGUCCCAUUGUGUUGGCCUUUGAGACCGGAGUAAUGAUUAAUAGGGACUAUCAGGGGCAUUCGUAUUUCAUUGUCAAAGGUGAAAUUCUUGGAUUUAUGAAAGACGGACCACUAUGAAAGCAUUUGCCAAGGAUGUUUUCAUUAAUCAAGAAUGAAAUUUGGGGGCUCGAAGAUGAUCAGAUACCAUCCUAGUCUCAACCAUAAACGAUGUCGACCAGGGAUCGAUGGAUAUUGCUCUAAGGACUCCGCCAGCACCUUCUAAGAAAUCAGAGUGUUUGGGUUCCGGGGGAAGUAUGGUCGCAAGGCUAAAACUUAAAGGUAUUGAUGGAAGGGAACCACCAGGAGUGGAGCCUGCAGCUUAAUUUGACUCAACACGGGGAAACUUACCAGGUCCAUACAUAGUAAGGAUUGACAGAUUGAGAGCUCUUUCUUGAUUCUAUGGGUGGUGGUGCAUGGCUGUUCUUAGUUGGUGGAGCGAUUUGUCUGGUUAAUUCCGAUAACGAACGAGACCUCAACCUGCUAAAUAGCUACGCGGAGGUUCCCCUUCGCGGCCAACUUCUUAGAGGGACUAUGGCCGUUUAGGCCAUGGAAGUUUGAGGCAAUAACAGGUCUGUGAUGCCCUUAGAUGUUAUGGGCCGCACGCGCGCUACACUGAUGC